GACGAACGCUGGCGGCGCGCCUAACACAUGCAAGUCGAACGAGAGAUGAAGAGCUUGCUCUUCAAAUCGAGUGGCGAACGGGUGAGUAACGCGUGAGGAACCUGCCUCAAAGAGGGGGACAACAGUUGGAAACGGCUGCUAAUACCGCAUAAGCCCACGGCUCGGCAUCGAGCAGAGGGAAAAGGAGCAAUCCGCUUUGAGAUGGCCUCGCGUCCGAUUAGCUAGUUGGUGAGGUAACGGCCCACCAAGGCGACGAUCGGUAGCCGGACUGAGAGGUUGAACGGCCACAUUGGGACUGAGACACGGCCCAGACUCCUACGGGAGGCAGCAGUGGGGAAUAUUGCACAAUGGGCGCAAGCCUGAUGCAGCCAUGCCGCGUGUGUGAAGAAGG
rnacentral:rRNA from 1 species